AGGUGUCUUUAUUAAGGAGGUGAAUUGUUAGCGCGUUUUCCGGGCGCCAUCAUUGAGUAUUGUUAUGUCAAAUCGCAUACAAUUUUCUAUACCCCCCUCCAGCCCUCCCCGAUUUUAAUACCGGAGCCCCCAGUAUUGUUAUGUCAAGUCGUGAAAUGUCAAUUUGCUCUGAAGCACUUCACCUCCUAAUAUCCAUACACCUUGCUCUCACCGAAAAUGCUGUCAGUCGCUGACAAAGCAUGCUGUCAGUUAUUUUCUCAGCUGCAUGCUCGGUGUAUGUAGAAACGCUCUCAGACCAAUAUAACUGACAGUGUUAUUCAAAUUUUGUCAACACUAUGUAGUUUCUAUGUAGUUUAAGCCAAGGUGGAUUUAAAAAUAUCAGGUGGUGGAUUAGGGCCUUUGGGGGGUCGCCAUAGUUGAGGGACUUUACGUCAUUUUAGAACCGUUGACCAUUGGUUUCCGCACACAAAGCUUAGCAAAUAUAACAGAUUUCUUUGUUAUUAUGUGCAUUUUAGUGUGUCUAUUGAUUUUAUCGAAAAACGUAAUAUAUUAACAAAAGAUUUGAUGAUUUGUUUAUGCAUGAAGUUUAAAAUCAUGUGAGUAAGAGUUCUUAUCUCAUGAACAUUGUCCAUGCGGCUCGUAGAUAAUGAGGAAUUAAUGUAAAAAUUGAAAAACUUAAUGCUUUCUUAAUUUUUAUCAUUAAAAAUGUCGAAAACACAAUGAAUUAUAGAUUAAAUUGACGGAAUAAAACAAAAUAACACACUUUAAUCCAUGUUUUAAUGUGUAAUAAGAACUCGCGAAGCCCAAAAUAUAUUUUUAAAGAAUUUUUAAUCGAAAAAAUCGGCUAAAUAAAUCUUAUGAACAAAUUUAAUAAAUGUAAACAAAGUUUGAAUCCUGGGGACCUUACGUCAAGUGACGAAUUGUCAAAAUGCACUAGAGUCCACCACCUGAUAUUUUUAAAUCCACCUUGAGUUUAAGCAGGGUUUAAAAACCAUUUUAUUUUUAUUAUUUAUUUAAUUAAGCACCCUGAUUUUAAUUGCAAAACAUUUCAUUAUUUUAAUCACAUGUUUAAUAUUUGAUUUCAGUUUAUCUUCAUUUGAUAUGACAAUUAAAAAGAAAAUAGAAAAAAUAUUUUGUUAAAUUUUGAUGGAGAUUUUCGACGUAUUAACACAUCGCAUACCAUUUUCCAAACUAAAAAUGUAUUAUAUUUAAAAUCAUUAAAUUAUUUGAUUUAAUUAAUUUGCUCUUGAUGAAGAUACUUUUUGAGACAUACUGUAUGUGCUGCGCCGCCAUUCUUAAUGUCAAAAAGUUCGUCAAGCUUCGUGUGUGAUGAAAGGCGACAAGAAAAGCAAGCAGCCGCAAAUUUUACAACUUGUAAUUUGUGUAUUAUCAAGCUUGUACAACAGCAUUUAAACUCGGUGAUAGAGUUCCGCCCGCUCCAUCAAAUACAGAGAAUGACGCCGUCCAAUAUUGUUCCUGCCUCGCGGUCGUGCACUACCGUCAGCACUGCACUAGCCGCAACAAAACAUGCGCCCCUUGUCCCACAUUUCCAUAAUCUCGACGGUGGUCAACAGCUGUACGACGGCCGCCUACAGCCACCGGGAUAGCCUCGCUCUCUAAUGCGAUACUGAUGAACCUGCGGCGCAAGAGCACGCAAGCGUUUGGUGGCGGCGGCUGUGGAAUGAUGGUGCACCUCGGUAAAUAUGGUGCACGAGAAGAAUUCUUCCCGCAAAAGGCAUCCGUUUGGGCACUGAAAUCGAACGACGCCUACGGAGACAGUAACAACAACAACCAUCCGGACAGGAGACGGAUCUCAGUCGGUUGUAUGAAAACAGCAAGGUGCACUAGAUCGUGAAACACUGGCCGUCCAGUACGACACAGGCCUUAUCAGCAGAUGGCAUGGAAAUGCCGCGAACAAUGAGGCCGCACCGUGACGCCCCGCGCUGUAGCCCUCGUUUACGCACCGAAGUUAAGCAGUUCCAUCGGGAUGUCUUCACCGCGCCGGAUCAUUUGCGGGACGAUAGCGACAAAUGUCCCGCCGUAGGAUCCAACCAAUAUGGUGGAUAAUUAAUAUAAAAAAUACAAAUUACAUUAAUUUAAUUCAUUAAAAAAUGAAAA